UGCGUAGGCGGUUCUAUAAGUCAGUGGUGAAAUACGGCAGCUUAACUGUCGAGGUGCCAUUGAUACUGUAGAACUUGAGUAUAGACGAGGUAGGCGGAAUUGACGGUGUAGCGGUGAAAUGCUUAGAUAUCGUCAAGAACACCGAUAGCGAAGGCAGCUUACUAGACUAAAACUGACGCUGAGGCACGAAAGUGUGGGGAUCAAACAGGAUUAGAUACCCUGGUAGUCCACACUGUAAACGAUGAUUACUCGAUGUUGGCGAUACACAGCCAGCGUCUUAGCAAAAGCGAUAAGUAAUCCACCUGGGGAGUACGCCGGCAACGGUGAAACUCAAAGGAAUUGA
rnacentral:rRNA from 1 species